CUAAACCAGACACUUUCUAGGAACAUGGUUCUCUCUCUUACCUCAUGGAUUCCAUACAAAAUGAGUGUUGAUAGACAUAGCCGAUGACAGGAAUGUAAUCCCUAGUCACCAGAUGUCCCUCCUAAGAGCAGUGAAGUUUAUCUGGAGGUUCUCUUUUUAUGAAAUGACCAUCAAUGAACCUUGCGUGGACUCCUCCUGAAAGUCGAAACGACAUACAUAGAGUGCUUCCACCGACAUGCACGGGCUGAAAUUGUGGAAAAGCAGCUUCACGUGCCCCAUAACCUCAGCCGUGCAGAACACAACGCCAUCCACAGCCUCAGAAACAACUCUGACAUCAUAAUAAAAAAGGCUGACAAAGGAGGUGCUGUAGUCAUCAUGAAUAGGUUGGAAUAUGAACAAGAGGUUGCUAGACAACUCUCUGACACCACAUUCUACAGGCCAUUACCCUCUGACCCCUGUGGGGAUUACCAAAAGAAACUACACCAUUUGCUCAAGAAACUCCCUGAAGAAGCACAGGAACAAAUCUAUACUGACAAACCCCUAGAGCCCCGACCAGGGGUAUUCUAUCUGCUACCCAAAAUCCAUAAACCUGGGAAUUCUGGAUGUCCCAUCAUCUCAGGCUUUGGCACCCUGACAGCAGGAUUAUCCGGCUAUGUAGACUCUCUCCUCAGGCCCUAUGCUACCAGCACUCCCAGCUGUCUUCAAGACACCACUGACUUCCUGAAGAAACUGCAGUCCUUUGAUGAUCUUCCAGAAAACACCAUCCUAGCCACUAUGGAUGUAGAAGCUCUCUACACAAACAUUCCAUACAAAGAUGGACUACAAGCCAUCAGGAAUAGCAUCCCUGAUACCAUCACGGCAAACCUGGUGGCUGAACUUUGCGACUUUGUCUUCACCCACAACUAUUUCAGAUUUGGAGACAAUUUAUACUUUCAAGUCAGCGGGACUGCUAUGGGUACCCUCAUGGCCCCACAGUAUGCCAACAUUUUUAUGACUGACUUAAAACAACGCUUCCUCAGCUCUCAUCCUCUUACGCCCCUACUCUACUUGAGCUACAUUGAUGACAUCAUCAUCUGGACCCAUGGGAAGGAGGCCCUUGAGGAAUUCGACCAAGAUUUCAACAAUUUCCACCCUACCAUCAACCUCAGCCUGGACCAGUCCACACAAGAGGUCCACUUCCUAGACACUACAGUGCUAAUAAGUGAUGGUCACAUAAAUACCACCCUAAACCGGAAACCUACUGACUGCUAUACUUACCUACAUGCCUCCAGCUUUCAUCCAGACCACAUCACACGAUCCAUUGUCUACAGCCAAGCUCUAAGAUACAACCGCAUUUGCUCCGAUCCCUCAGACAGAGACAAACACCUACAGGAUCUCUAUCCUGGUGAAGUGAAGAAACGGACUGACAGAGCCAGAAGGGUACCCAGAAGUCACCUACU
rnacentral:lncRNA from 1 species